GACGAACGCUGGCGGCGCGCUUAACACAUGCAAGUCGAGCGAAGCGGCGGACGGGUGAGUAACACGUGAGUAACCUGCCAUAGACAUUGGGCUAGCCUCGGGAAACCGGGAUUAAUACCAAAUGGUCUAAGAGGGACUCUCGUCCCAUUAGCUAGUUGGUGAGGUAACGGCCCACCAAGGCGACGAUGGGUAGCCGGCCUGUGAGAGAGAGCGGCCACCUUGGAGCGGAGAAGCGGUCCGAACUCUACGGAAGGCAGCAGUGGUGAAUAUUGCACAACGGAGGGAGUUCUGAUGCAGCGAGGCCGCGAGAACGAUGUAGGCUUUCAAGACGUAAAGUGCUUUUAAAUGUGAACCGGUACCGAAAGAGAAAGCCCCGGCUAACUACGUGCCAGCAGCCGCGGUAAUAC
rnacentral:rRNA from 1 species